rnacentral:rRNA from 1 species
GGUACCYACAGAAGAAGUCCCGGCAAACUCCGUGCCAGCAGCCGCGGUAAUACGGAGGGGGCAAGCGUUGUUCGGAAUUAUUGGGCGUAAAGGGCAUGUAGGCGGUUUGGUAAGUUAAAGGUGAAAUACCAGGGCUUAACCCUGGGGCUGCUUUUAAUACUGCAGGACUAGAGUCCGGAAGAGGAUAGCGGAAUUCCUAGUGUAGAGGUGAAAUUCGUAGAUAUUAGGAGGAACACCAGUGGCGAAGGCGGCUGUCUGGUCCGGUACUGACGCUGAGGUGCGAAAGCGUGGGAGCAAA